CUUCUGAUUGUAUCACUACUAUCGUGGCAGCGCAACAUACUGCAGACUUUCAUGUACUGGCAGGUUUUGAAGCUCAUGUAUCAAGUUCCUGUUACUGCUCCUUACCAUCAAAGUGUUUGGGCUAAAAUUGGGAGGACUGUGACCCCAUUCAUCCACCGCCAUGCUCCGGCGUUGAAUACUCCUUUAUCGGCGAUCCAGAGAUGGUGGUUCAGGUAGAGGAUGCUCGGGAGACGGGACAGUACAAAGACCAUUUGAAAUGCUGUGCCCUUUAUCUUCAAAUGGAAAGGACUCCAUAUCAAUGACUUUGUAGUUUGCUGCCAGUAGAAUUGAACCUUUGAUAUUUGAUCUAUUGAUGAUAUCGUUUUGGAUUAGUGUAUCUUCAAGAGUGUAGCAUGUAUGAAGCCAUGUUCCAACUAGUUAAUCACUUAUGCCACAAGGGUAGGGCAUGAGCGUGUAAGCGGUGACGCUUUGGCUGUGUGCAAUUGCCUUAACAGAACAAUUGAAUAAUCAACCUCUAGCUUAAAAAACCGUUGUCUUUUUUAACAGGUC